UUCUCUAAAUCAAGUUGGGAGAAGUGCGGCAACAGGGAUCGUUGAAAAUUGUUGUGAAUUGGAGGACACCAUUAAUAAUAAUUUUCCAGAAAAUUCAAACGCCAAGGAAGCACGUAUAAGCAAACUGUGACCGAAAGGGCUGUAAUGGCGGAGUUGGAAAACACGGAAAGGUGAAGAAAUGUAAAAACAGAGGUAGGGUUUCAACCUGUCCCAAAAGGUAUGUUAUUGCAUCAUCACUCUUGUCAUUAAAAUAAGCUGCAUAAUUUUGUCUGUUGCUCGAGAAUAUUUGUUGGUCUGAUACAGGACACAUCACUUGUUGGACAACCACUGAUGCUCUUAUGUUCACUUACUUACUUACUGACUUAUCCUCCUUGUGCCCUAAAGAACACUCGAGGCUAUGAUUUUCUUAAUAUCCCUUAAUUCAAAGCAAUCCAUUUUCCCUAACAGGGUGGGUAUUUCGUUUCUCAUAGCAUAAACGUCAAGGUCAAGAUUUCAAACUCUAAUUGGUUCCCAACAAGACGGCGAAAGAGGAUCAAAAACCACACCCAAUCGGAAUAUGAGGACCUCAUGAUUUAUUGCUGCUGGUAUUUUUUAUCUCUGUGGAAAGGAAAGUGAAGUACAUAUUAAUCGUGACAUAAUUGUAAACAUUUACUUUUAGUAACCUUUUUUAAAUAAAGAAUGCGCACAAUUUUGUCAUUGGGGAUAACAUAUGCAAAAAAAUGUGUAAAUAUUAUUCAGGAAUCGCUGAAUAACUCAAAAGUGUCCAAUGGUCUGCACCAUGGCGGCCACGGGAAUGAUAACGACAAUGUAACUGAAAAGUAGUUGACAAGUACCCUGUUAAAUAAAAUUGAACGUAACUGUGUUUAAGCUGUUUUUGACCUCCGUCUUCAUAGGGGGUGGAAAGGCUCACAGAGAGUUGAUAUCUAUGCAUUGAACCUAGUGUGGGUAUCAUCUCAUUACUGUUCGCCGCGAAACUGAGUCAUAUUGGAGGAAAAAAAGAGCAAUGUCGUUUCUUGCACGCAAUCGACAGUUAAGGACGUGUACUACCAUCAACCGACACAAUUCUGAGCUGAGAGUGCAUCGCGUUUUCCAUGACUAGGCACCACAGCGUAACUGAGUGUUGGACUUAUUCGAGUGAAACAACAAAAUCGGUGCGCUCUUGGGAAGAAAUGACCUAAGAAUAGCAAUUCGCUACGAUGGACAAACUUUUGUGGUAAUCGGGUGUUAAUCAACAAAGAAAAACACAAUGAACUACAGGAACUAAGAAAUGGUAAAAUGCGUGCGGAAUGCUUUCCAGCGGAAAUUGAUGAAAAAAGCAGACCAACGGCUACUAAAGGAUAAACAGGUCGCACCACAAAAACACAAGAAAUGCGCCGAUAUUGCCUUUCCUAUCAUAAAUUUAAAACGGCCUUUAUAAAGAGAAAGAUCUUGAACGGUGGUCUCAAGCUUGGGAAUAGAAAGUGUGAGAGAAUUCCAGACAUGUGAGAACCUCAGACUUUCGCAGAUUCUCUACAAGCUGAGCAUUGGAGUGCUUUCCAGAGCUAUGCACUCAGUUUGGAGUAAGGCAUGAGAAUCGUUGACAUAAAGAGUCACCGUUUUAAUUUCGUAACGUAACUUGACGGAAAGUAAAUAGAAUAAUUCUGAUUUAUAACAGACUCAUGGUCUGAUUGAUGAUGUCUAACAAAUAGUUAAAUGUAAUUCAAAAGUAAAUAGCUGUGUUGAUUCAGGCUUCCGAAUGUACUUUCCGAAAUUCCUUGUUUGUUUAUAUGAGUAUAAAAAUAAACUGUAUUUUAUCAGUUUCA